AGUAAAAUUAAUUCUCCUUUAAGUAAUCUGCUCAGGGUAUGGCUGAACAUAUACCACAAGUUUGUGCCAAAGAAUACUUUUUCAUAGUUCAUAAUAGUAAGGGAAAAUAAAGGAUUGACUUAGUAUUAACCCAUACAGUCAGUUUAUUGCGAACUAUUAAGAGGGAGGUAUGUUUGGAACAGCUGGAAAUGAGCUAAAUGUUAGCCGAAGAAGUCCAGGCAACUGUCCAAAUGAGCAUUAGGUAUACGAAAGUCAGGAAUGCUUAUUUCUGCUGAAUCAAUUGCUGUAUCCGGGUUACAUUCCUUUAUGGCUCUUCAAAUUUAUGCAGAAGUUAAUUCAUCUCAACUAUUUAGAACACUCAGUUUGAGCAGGUGGAAUCACAAGAGAAGCGGAGAAGACGGAUAUUUAAGCCUUCAGACGAUCAUGGAGACUUCAUACAGAGUCGUUUCUGUACAGGUUGCCCCAGUUCUUCUGAAGUCUGGGGUGACCCGUAGAAGAGUCCCGAAGGUCCCGGGGGUUGGGCGGCAUGGCCAAGGAGCACAAUCCACAGAACGUAGAAACAAGGCUCUUGGCUGGUGUGUUCUCCUGUGGCUGCAGAGCCAGCGCGGAAAGGCUGGGCUGACGUCAGUGCUGGGUACGGUGCCUUAAUUAUUGUUAUUUAUGGGAAAGGGAAACAAAUGCUGGAGGGAGCAGGAGUCU
rnacentral:lncRNA from 12 species